rnacentral:rRNA from 1 species
GACGAACGCUGGCGGCGUGCUUAACACAUGCAAGUCGAACGGAAAGGCCCUGCUUUUGUGGGGUGCUCGAGUGGCGAACGGGUGAGUAACACGUGAGUAACCUGCCCUUGACUUUGGGAUAACUUCAGGAAACUGGGGCUAAUACCGGAUAGGAGCUCCUGCUGCAUGGUGGGGGUUGGAAAGUUUCGGCGGUUGGGGAUGGACUCGCGGCUUAUCAGCUUGUUGGUGGGGUAGUGGCUUACCAAGGCUUUGACGGGUAGCCGGCCUGAGAGGGUGACCGGCCACAUUGGGACUGGGAUACGGGCCAGACUCCUACGGGAGGCAGGAGUGGGGAAUAUUGCACAAUGGGCGGAAGCCUGAUGCAGCAACGCCGCGUGCGGGAUGACGGCCUUCGGGUUGUAACCCGCUUUCGCCUGUGACGAAGCGUGAGUGACGGUAAUGGGUAAAGAAGCACCGGCUAACUACGUG